UUCCCCUCCUCCUUCUCCUGCUGCUGCUCCUCUUCCCCCUCCCCAAUCUCCCUCCCUCCUCACUCCUCUCCGCGCAGUCGUGGGAUCUUGGAAGAAAGCGUCCAUUAAGGCAACGUGUGACCAUGUAAGGUCUCUCUCUCUAGAGGUCUUCCAACAAAGACUGACUGACCAUUUAUGGUGGGGAAAAUUCUUGUUUGGCUACAGUUUAGAUGAGAAGGAUUCAGGCUUCAUUCUGAUCCAUGAGAUUCUAUACAAGGAAUUAUUGGAUGAAAACAGAAGGUACCAGGCAGACUUUUGCAAAUUAUGAGGUUAAAGGAGUAGGAUCUCCAACCUUGGGAAAGGUCGGGAGAGGAAGCCACAGAAAUCCAGGAAUCAGAAUACAGGCUAUGCAGUCAGCACGUUGAUAUUCACAAGGACAAAGGACUCUGAUUUGGGAGUGAUCUUCUAGAACUAUGCCACUUAAAAACUGAAGUGAGAACUCAUUCAGCAAGAGAUGCUGCCUUUGUACUCGAGCUUGGUGGGACUUUGAAGGGACUGAGCUAAGCUUGGAGCCUACUUCUUUAGAGACAAAGAUGGUAUAGGGGAGAGUAUGCCCCCCUGAAGCAUUAAGGGAAAUAUUUGUAAUUCGUUAUUGAUGUAACUUUGAAGUGAAUAUCUCUUUGUAAAAGCUAGUCAUUGUUAAAAGGUUAAGUGGAACUGGGUGCUCGUUAUAGGCCCCUAACAAUGAGGGAUGGGGAGGGAAGGGAAAUACUAGCUGACUUACUCUAGGUGAGGGAAAAGAUGGUCCAAAACCCUCUGGGUACCCUGAAAUCCUGAGUAGAAGAUGCAGCCAGCCUAGCUCUAAGAAAGAAAGGUCAGAACAUUGAUGUUGUAAACAGAUCUUAAUUUUAAAAGGGGAGGGGUUGCUGGAUUGCCUUGGAAGGCGCUUUCACUGGAGGUUUUCAAAUGAAACACCCACUCCCUGCUAAGCAGGUGAGCAAUUUUCCCUGAAGGACAGCCAACCCUGUGACUCCAGAGUGACUUCUGAGUCACUUGAUUGACUUCUGACAGAUCUUUGAGCUGAUGCUGAUUUGCACCUCUGUAAGAGGGCAGAGACUUUAGAGAGACUGGUGGGGGACAUUUUGUGAAAGGAGUUUGGGAGAAACAGUUGAGAGAGAAAAGUUCAAACUUUUAAAUGGAAACUAGUGAUCUCCAUGGAGCCACAGAUAUAUUCCCUGAUUCUCAGCAUCUGCAACCUUAGAGAUGACUAAGAGUAGACUCUUUACUUCCCUUGCCCUCAAUGUAGGUGAGCUAGGUUUGUGUGUGUGUGUGUGUGUGUGUGUGUGUGUGUGUGUGUGUGUGUAUGUGUGUGAGCUAAGGUUUUAUCUUGCUCCCAAGUUAAAUAGUAUGUUUACCCUACUGUAUUCUAUUGUCUAUAUAAUUUUCUGGAUUUCUCUUUACUUUGAUAGAGGCUUACUAGCUAUUCAUGAUGGUCUUUGGUUUAUCCAGCCAGCAUUUGACAGAAAAGGAGCUAAAUUGGUAAGAGUAAUGUCAGCCUUCCCUUAAGACUAAUCAGGGAAAGUGGUGUUUAUUCUGAACUUUACCUCCACUGUAUCCUUACACUAGAGAUAUUUGAUGCAUGUUAGAUAGAUAUAAUUCUAGCCUGAACACUCUAUUGAAGAUAAGAUAGUAAAGGAAAGAUGAACCAGUCAUAGAUGUCCUGAAUCCUGCCUCCUUCCCCACUAGGCUUCUGGUGGUACCCUCCUACUCUCAACAAAGGAAGUAAUUGUAGUUCCCUUUGGCAGGGUUUGGAGGUGGGGGGGUAAUGGGAAAGAACAGAUCCAUGUUCAGAUAUCUAUCUAUCAAUGCUGCAGGUGGACAAGCCAUAUUUAAAUUAGGUAGUUACCAAUAAUAUACAUUCACAACAAGCAAACGUUAGAUAACCCCAAAAAGUCAGCUAUAGUUUGGACCCGAUGACCUCCAAGGUCCCUUCUGAUUCUGAGAUUCUGUUAGAUUCUAAGCUCCUCAAGGACAGGGAUGAUCUUUUGCACAGUGCCUGACACAUAGUCAGUGCUUAAUAAAUAUUGGUGCAUUGAUUGAUUGUUCAUCUUUGAAGGCUUGCAUAGGAGAAUAGCACACAAAUUGGUUUGAGCAGCUUGCAAAGAAAAUAUCAAUAAUUAACAAAAAAUGAGAACAGAGAGGCAUAGGGAUUAGGGAGGAAGAGACCAUUUGAUGAGAAGCCUUGAAUAUAGAUGAAAGAGUUAGGUUUGAUUUGGUAGCGUCUUGAUCAAGGGUAGUAACAUGAUAAAAUCAGUGUUAGAAUUAGAUUCUAUUGGAAAGUGUGUGAGUUGGGUGUCAGGAAAGACCAGAGGGAAAAUCCUCAUCAGACAAGCUAUGAGAGUAACCCUGAAGGAAGCAGAUGAGGUUUGAGCUAGGUGGUGGCUAUGGAAGUGGAAGAAACCACAGAAAUUACAGACAAUGUGAAAAGAUUAGGUAGGACUUCGGAUAUCUGGAUCAUCUCCUGACUUUAAAAUGCAGAACCUUAGAGAAGCUGAUUCAUAAAAACCAUUGAGAAGGCCAAAAUGAACCAAACCUGAGGUCCAUCCAGUCACUCUGUGACAAAUAGUAGUUCUCGAGACCACGUUCCCAAGGAAUGCGGCUUUCCUCUUUGAGUUUCCCUUAGAGGCUUGAUAAGGGGUUGGAAGAAAUGGGCUAGACAGGUCUUUGGGGCCUAUGCUCAACAUUAGUUCUGGAUAUCUGGGGGUUCAGAGGUUGAAAAUGAAGCUAAAGGUAGGUGCCAUAUAGUGAUGACAAUAGCCAGGUGGAGAUGAGGGCCAGAGUGUUUGGCAACAGGUCCCCUGUUUGUGUAGCUUCCUCCCAGGGAAGAAAUGUCAAGAACUCCAGGGACUGAAGCUGCUUCCUCUGUUUCUAAAUUGUUUGACAUGUUGCUCCCCACUGAGUUCUCCACUUCCUGCACCUUGUCCCCAAUCAACCUCUUAUGGAAAGCCAAAAGUACUCUUUCCAGUUCCUACCUUCACUCAGUGCUAAAAGAUGUGAGAUCCAUUAAAAACAACAAAAACAACAAACAAACAUUUAAAAGGUUACAAAGUACAAAUUAGGAGGUGAUUAUUAAGAUGAGCUAGGAUUCUAAUUAGGUGGAUUUAGAAGGUGAUUAUUUGCUUUACAAAAGGGUUCUUCCUUUGGGAUCCUAUUAAAAAGCUUUCCUACCGAAUUUUGAAUGGCUCAAGCUACAAACCUUUCAUUCUUACUCAACUUUUCAGAAACAUUUUUUGCAUUAAGUAAGACCAGUAGAAUAAUUUCACAUCUCUUAAAUUACCCAGUAAAUGUUCAGCCUUUUCACAGUGUGCUCCUUCUACCUGAUUAGACUGAAAGCUCUUUGAGGACAAGGAUCAAAGAUUCUUUGGUGAUUCCACUCCCUCAGUGUCACCACACACACACACACACACACACACACACAC